UGGGGAAUUUUGGACAAUGGGCGAAAGCCUGAUCCAGCAAUGCCGCGUGUGUGAAGAAGGCCUUCGGGUUGUAAAGCACUUUUGUCCGGAAAGAAAUCCUUGGCUCUAAUACAGUCGGGGGAUGACGGUACCGGAAGAAUAAGCACCGGCUAACUACGUGCCAGCAGCCGCGGUAAUACGUAGGGUGCAAGCGUUAAUCGGAAUUACUGGGCGUAAAGCGUGCGCAGGCGGUUUGCUAAGACCGAUGUGAAAUCCCCGGGCUCAACCUGGGAACUGCAUUGGUGACUGGCAGGCUAGAGUAUGGCAGAGGGGGGUAGAAUUCCACGUGUAGCAGUGAAAUGCGUAGAGAUGUGGAGGAAUACCGAUGGCGAAGGCAGCCCCCUGGGCCAAUACUGACGCUCAUGCACGAAAGCGUGGGGAGCAAACAGGAUUAGAUACCCUGGUAGUCCCACGCCCUAAAACGAUGUCAACUAGUUGUUGGGGAUUCAUUUCCUUAGUAACGUAGCUAACGCGUGAAGUUGACCGCCUGGGGAGUACGGUCGCAAGAUUAAAACUCAAAUGAAUUG
rnacentral:rRNA from 1 species